GCAGAAAAUAAUCUACACCAACCCAUAAUUAUUCUUUACGAUGAUCCACCUUUUAUAAUGUAGAUGUUUAAAAUAAAAACCAAAGGAAUGACCAAUGAGAGCCACAGUCCCUAGGAAGAACUGUAAAUGAAGACGAAUCCACAUGGCACAGGAUUUCUCCCAACAUCCUCAAACGGGAAUCAUCCGAAGGCAUCGAUUCUACAGCCCAAAGCCUUUGUCCACAACUCCCAGGGGUCAGAGCUUCCUUCUUUCGCGCCAGGCCAAAGUUGCUACGUGGGAUCCGAUGUUGUCGCCAGACUUUCAGCCAAAAUCAGCCUUCAAAUUAACCUGGACCGCCCAACCUCCGUGCCUUUCCGUUACGCCGUCUCAAGGGCAAACAUUCCACCCUAACUCGCCAGAGGGUGAACUGCCCCCAGAUCUAACUGAAAACACUUGCCCUUCUCAAGCCUAACGAGCUGGGCCUGCAGCGCUUUUCUGCCACCACUGACUACGAUGACAUAGCAAAGAAAAAAAUAUACCUAUGAAAUCCUUCGAGAUCUUCACUCUCAAGAUCCCUGGGAAGCGCACAUACACCACCACAUGGAAGCUGACGGGAAAGGAAGAGUCGGUGUUUUAGCAAGAAAAGAGGGUGCCCUAACGGCAGGAGCUACGCUAGAUACUGGCGCGGCCGCCGGUCCCGCCUUUCCCCGUUCUUCCGGCUUGGUCGCCC
rnacentral:lncRNA from 1 species